GCCUUAGUAACGGCGAGUGAAGCGGCAAAAGCUCAAAUUUGAAAUCUGGCACCUCCGGUGUUCGAGUUGUAAUUUGGAGAGGCAUCUUCUGGAGGGGCCCAGCCUAUGUGCCUUGGAACAGGACAUCAUAGAGGGUGAGAAUCCCGUACUUGGCUGGAUGUUCCCUCCUGUAUGUAGUGUCUUCUACGAGUCGAGUUGUUUGGGAAUGCAGCUCAAAAUGGGUGGUAAAUUUCAUCUAAAGCUAAAUAUUGGCGAGAGACCGAUAGCGCACAAGUAGAGUGAUCGAAAGAUGAAAAGCACUUUGAAAAUAGAGUCAAACAGUACGUGAAAUUGUUGAAAGGGAAGCGCUUAGGACCAGACUCAGCCUUUGGUGGACAUCCGCCCAUCGGGGCGGUGCACUUGUCAUUGGUUGGGCCAGCAUGGGUUGGGACGGUGGGAUAAAGGCUCGGGAAAUGUGACUCC
rnacentral:rRNA from 1 species